AGUAAUUGCUGACUGGCAGCCAAACAGGAGGGAGCUCUCAGCCAUGUUACAAAGGAGAGGCCUGAGGAAGGAGCUGGAUCUUAUACCGCAGAGAGAGGAAGGAUCCCUGAACCAAGAGGUAAUUAGAGACCAUCUUGGCUAAAUUCACACUUGGACCAGAAUCCAGGACAAACUGUUGAUCCACCAAAGAGAGAACUACAAACUCCCAGUCAGCAAAGAAGCCAAAAGAUAGCUGAUGACCUGAUUCCUGACCAGAUGAUGAUAUAGCUUCUUUGUGGAACAAGAGAGAAACAGAGAGGAAUAUUCAGAUUGAAGACUGUGCCAAAAGGUAUCUUCACCAUGGAAAAGACUGUGUAUUGUCUGUCCAUUUCACUUUUAAUAUGGGAUCAAUUUACUCCAUUCUUACUUAAGUAAUGCUUUCAGUUCCCAUGUUUGGAAAUGUGCUCAAAUUCAUGCAAUAUACUAGCAGAGUCAGGUGCAGAAACAAUUUUUUGACUCCUGGUCAUCUUGCCUCGAAGACUAUUAUAGUCCAGUAGUGCUGUUGCUAUAGUCUAAUUACAGAACAUCCCAUAUGUUAGGAGAAACUUGCAUAGGACCCAUAUCAGCUGUAAGAGGUGGUCAAAGUGCUUAAUGUUUUGGAACAAAGAAGGUAGAGACAGGCAAGGGUGGCAUAUGACGUGUGGGACAUCUGAUCCAAAAUAUUUUACAAGAAAUGAGAUAGAAGUAUUGUAUGUUACUACAUACAUGAAUAAAUGUAUGUAAUUUAGGCCCCCCCCCCCAAAAGUUCACAUACAUUAAACAAACAAACAAAAAAAUUAAGCUGUGUCUAAUAAUUUUGAGGAAAAAUCCACUUUCAGUGCUGAUAGCAUGAGUGCAGUUUAUAAAUCGGAUGAGUUUUCUUCCGUUCACCCUGUAGCAAACAGACAGACUCCUCAGUGAUCGCUAACCCUUUGCAAUAAAUAGUGAUUUGGCUUUCAGAACAGGAGAUACGACCUAAGUGUGCCUGUACAUGUGCUCAGGGGUGGGGAAGGGACAUUUUAAUUAAAGUGUUCCCGGAGAGCUGCUCUAAUUAAACUGCUGCAGUGUCACAUGUAUUAAGGCCCUUUGCGAUUAAAAAUGGCUGCGGGAUGGUUUAAUUGAAGCUCAUUCUAUGAGCUUUAGCUAGAGUGUUCCAGAAGCCGUUUUUAAACCCUCAGGUUUUUAUACACAUGAGGCUGCAGCAAUGUUAGUGUUCUAAUUGGAAUGCAGAGCAGAUUCAGUUAAUCAUGUAUAAUUAGAAUACAUAUGUGUAUAGGCACUGUAAGAAUCUGGGGUAAGAUCACUUCUGGCUCCUCAUAAC